AGAGUUUGAUCCUGGCUCAGAACAAACGCUGGCGGCGUGCCUAAUACAUGCAAGUCGAACGGGGAAAGUAGCAAUACGAGUACUAGUGGCGCACGGGUGAGUAACGCGUGGGUAAUCUCCCUCAGAGUGUGGGAUAACUAGUCGAAAGAUUAGCUAAUACCACAUAAGACCACAGGAACUGCGGUUCUAGGGGUCAAAGG
rnacentral:rRNA from 1 species